UACGGAGGGGGCUAGCGUUGUUCGGAAUUACUGGGCGUAAAGCGCACGUAGGCGGCUUUGUAAGUUAGAGGUGAAAGCCCAGGGCUUAACUCUGGAAUUGCCUUUAAGACUGCAUCGCUAGAAUCGUGGAGAGGUGAGUGGAACUGCGAGUGUAGAGGUGAAAUUCGUAGAUAUUCGCAAGAACACCAGUGGCGAAGGCGGCUCACUGGCCCGGUACUGACGCUGAGGUGCGAAAGCGUGGGGAGCAAACAGG
rnacentral:rRNA from 1 species